ACAACCAGUGGAGCAUGUGGUUUAAUUCGAGACGAAACGAAAGACCUCACCCAGCCUUGACAUAAUACCGUUUUAAGCACCCAGAAAUGGGAGCCUAUCACUAGAAAUAUUGAUGGUACUACAGGUGUUGCAUGGCCGUCGUCAGCUCGUGCCGUAGGGUGUUCCCUUCAGUGGGGUAACGAGCGCAACCCUUGCCCUGAGUUGAAUAUUCUCAGGGGACUUCUUAAAUUUAUUUUAGGAGGAAGUGAGGACGACGUCAGGUCAGCAUGGCCCUUAUAGCUUGGGCUACACACAUGCUACAAUGGAGCCGACAGAGGGUAUAGCCAAGUCGCAAGACGGAGCUAAUCCCAGAAACGGCUUCUCAGUGGGGAUUGGGGGCUGCAAUUCGCCCCCAUGAACGCGGAAUUGGUAGUAAUCGCGAAUCAGCUACGUCGCGGUGAAUACGUUCUCGGGUCUUGUACACACCGCCGAAAUUUAAUUAAAGCGCGUGGCAGUUAUUUUUUCUAAGUGGUUUAAAUCCAUU
rnacentral:ncRNA from 1 species